GUCAUAAUUAAAUACUAAUAUAUAUCUUUAUAUAUAAAGAAGAGCUUGAAUCAUUCCCAGGGGGUCCAGCUCGGAUGUCACGUCAUCAAUUCAAGCUCCCUGGAGCCGACACGUGUCCCGUUUCUCCGAAAACGCAGAGCUUUAAUUCAGAUGGGUUUUUUUCAUAGGGGCUUUGUGAUAUUGUUACUUGCUGGACUACCUUUUUGAGAAACACUUCCGUUUCCUAUUCUCUUAGCGUCGCCGAAGAUUGCUUUUUUUCUUUUCUUUUUUUUUCCAGCGAAUGCUUAGACCGUUCAUCUAACCGGCGUCGAAAUCUCCAUCUAUAAUACGUGAAGCCAUUGUUUCCGGCGAUACCUGUUAAAACCCGGCGGCGAUGGUGUCUUUCAAUUGAUUUCCAACUCACCAACAAAAAAAUAAAUUCUUGGAAACAUUACGAUAAUCAGAUUCAUACAAUCGUCGCCUCAUCAACAACAUCUCCCACUUCUCACCCGAUCUGUUAUAUAAAUAUGGCGGAAAGCUUUAACCUAUAGCUGUUGCUUUCACCGAUGAGCAGACCAAGAGUUUUACGAAGCUUUCUGUCUCCUCGACAAAGACUCAGAUGGUAUGUCGUUGUUUACUUUGGUCUUACUCAAAAUACAACCUUUUAUACGAACAGACCAUGGAACUGAUGAUAAGAUGGAUUAGCUGAUAUUUAUAUAUGCUGUUCGUGAGAAACCAAAGAAAGUGAUGAAAUCGAUGUGGAAGAAUUGAAAUGCAGAACUUUGGGAGAUGAUGAUCGUCAUCUACGUUUGAUGGCAAUGGAGACAUUUAUAUAAUGGCCCAAAACACCUCUCAGGGAAGCUUGAAGAUCAUCAGCCACCAUCCCUACUUCAAAUGGAUAUACAAAACAUAGACAUAUUUUUAGAUUAGUCUUCGAUAGGUGCAUAAGGAGGUGGUACGGUGAGAGAUCAGCUGGAGAAGAAAGAGCGAGAUCCAGGAUUGUAGAGUCAGAGUGAAAGGAGACGGAGCCUGAGAUUCACGACACACAAGCAGGUCAGUAUAAACAAACCUUUGAACAUAAUCUACUAUAUGACAAACCGUACGAAGAGUCUAUGUAUUUGUUUUUGAUGUAAAACAAUAGCUUGCGAGAUCAAUUUCUCAAGACAACUAAUUUACGACUUAGAGACUUUGGACUGAAAUUUGGAGUGAAGACCAGAUCUCCAAUCAAAAUCAGUGGUUAUAUUAUCCUGGCGUCAAUACUUCCAAAAGUUUGUAUAAAUUUUUGACUCUCGCAUAUGGAUUUAACUUCUUCUUAUGAUCAGAACGAUGCUUGACAAUGAGAUUCAAGGAGAAGAAGCUCCGGAACCUUCUCUUGCUGGAAAGAGAAGAAAAGAAACUGAAAGACCAAGCUCUGCUCUUCCACAAAAACCAAGGUAAUCAAUUGCUCAUAGAGCAAAAGUAUGGGAAUUCUUUAUCCAAAAAGAAGAUGAUCGUGCACAAUGCAAUUGUUGUUUCUGCAAAAUUGCAGGAACUGAAAGUAGCACCUGAAACACGUACGUGUUCUCCACGUGAAAUUACUAAGUGUAUCUUGGUUCCUUUUUGUAUUUAUUUCAGCUUGAGUUACAAUUUGUGUUUGUUUAAGAUUUUUAUUGCAAGUUGUUUUUUCUUCUCUGUUAUUGUUGUAAACUUGUGAUGUCAGCAUCUUUCAUCAAUAAGUUAGUACAACGUGGGUUCGAAACUUAUUUUUGAAAGUGGUGUAAUAUGUUUGAAACUGAAUAUUCGUUUGAAUC